AACUGACACUCCCCAACGGUAGCAAGUCUUGCUCCAACAUUUGGGCGCGGUGCCAUGAC
rfam:Shewanella pealeana ATCC 700345, complete genome.